rnacentral:rRNA from 1 species
AGAGUUUGAUCCUGGCUCAGGACGAACGCUGGCGGCGUGCCUAACACAUGCAAGUCGAGCGAGAAGGGACCUUCGGGUCCUGGAGAGCGGCGAACGGGUGAGUAACACGUGGGCAACCUGCCCCAAGGACUGGGAUAACGCUCGGAAACGGACGCUAAUACCGGACGUGCUCUGGCCACUCAAGUGGUUCGAGCAAAGGUAGCUUCGGCUUCUGCCUUGGGAUGGGCCCGCGGCCUAUCAGCUUGUUGGUGAGGUAACGGCUCACCAAGGCUACGACGGGUAGCUGGUCUGAGAGGACGAUCAGCCACACUGGGACUGAGACACGGCCCAGACUCCUACGGGAGGCAGCAGUGGGGAAUCUUGCGCAAUGGGCGAAAGCCUGACGCAGCAACGCCGCGUGGAGGAAGAAGGCCCUCGGGUCGUAAACUCCUGUCAGGGGGAAAGAAGGCACCUGGGAUAAUAGCCCAAGGGCUGACGGUACCCCCAGAGGAAGCCACGGCUAACUACGUGCCAGCAGCCGCGGUAAUACGUAGGUGGCGAGCGUUGUCCGGAAUCAUUGGGCGUAAAGAGCGCGUAGGCGGCUUGUCAGGUCCGAUGUGAAAUCUCGGGGCUCAACCCCGAAAGUGCAUCGGAAACCGGCUUGCUAGAGUUUGGGAGAGGAGAGUGGAAUUCCUGGUGUAGCGGUGAAAUGCGCAGAUAUCAGGAGGAACACCGGUAGCGAAGGCGGCUCUCUGGAACAAUACUGACGCUGAGGCGCGAAAGCUAGGGGAGCAAACAGGAUUAGAUACCCUGGUAGUCCUAGCCCUAAACGAUGGACACUAGGUGUCGGGAGUGUCGACUCUCCCGGUGCCGAAGCUAACGCAUUAAGUGUCCCGCCUGGGGAGUACGGCCGCAAGGCUAAAACUCAAAGGAAUUGACGG